UACGUAGGGGGCUAACGUUAUCCGGAAUUACUGGGCGUAAAGGGUGCGUAGGUGGUUUCUUAAGUCAGAGGUGAAAGGCUACGGCUCAACCGUAGUAAGCCUUUGAAACUGGGAAACUUGAGUGCAGGAGAGGAGAGUGGAAUUCCUAGUGUAGCGGUGAAAUGCGUAGAUAUUAGGAGGAACACCAGUUGCGAAGGCGGCUCUCUGGACUGUAACUGACACUGAGGCACGAAAGCGUGGGGAGCAAACAGGAUUAGAUACCCUGGUAGUCCCUGAGCGGG
rnacentral:rRNA from 1 species